rnacentral:rRNA from 1 species
AAUUUUGGACAAUGUGGGAAACCCUGAUCCAGCCAUCCCGCGUGUGUGAUGAAGGCCUUCGGGUUGUAAAGCACUUUUGACAUGGAAGAAAUGACAGGAGCUAAUAACUUCUGUAGAUGACGGUACAUGUAGAAUAAUCACCGGCUAACUACGUCCCAGCCGCCGCGGUAAUACGUAGGGUGCAAGCGUUCAUCGGAAUUACUGGGCGUAAAAGGUAAGCCGGCGGGUAGGAAAGAAAGAUGUGAAAUCCCAGGGCUCAAACUUGGAACUGCAUUUUUAACUACCUGGAUAGAGUAUGUCAGAGGGGGGUAGAAUUCCACGUGUAGCAGUGAAAUGCGUAGAGAUGUGGAGGAAUACCGAUGGCGAAGGCAGCCCCCUGGGAUAAUACUGACGCUCAGGUACGAAAGCGUGGGGAGCAAACA